UACGGAGGGGCUAGCGUUGUUCGGAAUUACUGGGCGUAAGCGCACGUAGGCGGCUUUGUAAGUUAGAGGUGAAAGCCCAGGGCUUAACCCUGGAAUUGCCUUUAAGACUGCAUCGCUAGAAUCGUGGAGAGGUGAGUGGAAUUCCGAGUGUAGAGGUGAAAUUCGUAGAUAUUCGGAAGAACACCAGUGGCGAAGGCGACUCACUGGACACGGUAUUGACGCUGAGGUGCGAAAGCGUGGGGAGCAAACAGG
rnacentral:rRNA from 1 species